AUUGAUCUGGAUGAUCUAGCGAAAUCAAAAAAAGAGAGAGUGGAGCUCCCAAAACAAUUUGAAGAUUGUUACAAACAGAAAAGGUGAGAGUGGAGCUCCCAAAUCAAUACUUUAAAGGCCCUAAGAAAGAAGGAAAAUGAGGUGAAUAAUACGAGUAUGUAUAACAAGGGCUAUUCAAAGUCGAUUACCGUAAGCUAGGUAAGGACUGCAACUACUAGCCAUCAGGUCCCCUCAAGGCAAGAAUCCAA
rnacentral:lncRNA from 1 species